CGAUUUUCAUCUGAUCAUCAUCUCUCCCUAUAGUAUAGGCGUCAUCCAUUUUGAGAUUUGCUGCUGUGCGUUCUUGUUUGUGGGUGUGUAAAUUUUGCGUUUUGCAAAUGAUUUCACAAUUUCAUUGAAUUUUAAUAGUAUUCAUUACUCAGUAUUUAUUGAGUACCAUGUCGCGAUACGGAGAUUGUAAGGUAUACGUGGGAGAUUUGGGAAACAAUGCAAGCAAACCAGAGUUGGAAGACGCAUUUUCAUACUACGGCCCUUUAAGAAAUGUUUGGGUAGCCCGAAAUCCGCCCGGAUUCGCUUUUGUGGAAUUCGAAGAUCCUCGUGACGCUGAAGAUGCGGUUCGCGGAUUAGACGGUCGGACUGUAUGCGGGCGUCGUGCGCGCGUAGAGAUGUCAAACGGUAGCCGUGGUCAUGGCGGGCGCGGGCCUCCGCCCCGCUCGAGGCCCCCGUCGCGGCCCUACGACGACCGCUGCUACGACUGCGGGGACCGCGGCCACUACGCCAGGGACUGCACAAGGCGCCGCCGCAGAAGGUUAUCAUUGGCCUGUGCGCCGAGAUUGAACUCGUCAGUGUCUGCACUUCUAAUUGUCAACGCUACGUAGUUUUCACUCCGCGGCGUGUACUCCGAUAGAGUUGGCCGCAUCGGUAACCUCGCUCUGCGAACUACGUAGCUACGUGCACGCACCACUUGUUGAGAACUCCAAUUGAGCAUUUUGUUCACUGCGCCUCGCAUCCUACUAUUGUAAUCACUGCGUGCACUCAUCGCUCGCGCUCGCGCCGCCGCUCGCGCUCGCGCUCGCCGCGCUCGGGGUCCCGCUCGCGCUCGCGCAGCCGCUCCCGCUCCCGCUCCAAGGGCCGCUCCAUGUCCAGAUCAAGAUCAAGAUCGCAGUCAAAGGACUCCA